AUUUAAGAAUCAUAUUAAUGAAUUCAAUUUCGACUUGAAAAUAAAGUUUAAAAUUUUAAACUCUUAAAUU
rnacentral:tRNA from 1 species